UACGGGAGGCAGCAGGGGGAAUAUUGCACAAUGGGCGCAAGCCUGAUGCAGCCAUGCCGCGUGUAUGAAAAAGGCCUUCGGGUUGUAAAGUACUUUCAGUCGUGAGGAAGGUGUUAAGGUUAAUAACCUUAGCAAUUGACGUUAGCGACAGAAGAAGCACCGGCUAACUCCGUGCCAGCAGCCGCGGUAAUACGGAGGGUGCGAGCGUUAAUCGGAAUUACUGGGCGUAAAGGGCACGCAGGCGGUUAAUUAAGUUGGAUGUGAAAUCCCCGGGCUUAACCUGGGAAUGGCAUUCAAGACUGGUUAGCUAGAGUCUUGUAGAGGGGGUAGAAUUCCAUGUGUAGCGGUGAAAUGCGUAGAGAUGUGGAGGAAUACCGGUGGCGAAAGGGCGGCCCCUGGACAAAGACUGACGCUCAUGUGCGAAAGCGUGGGGAGCAAACAGGGAUUAGAUACC
rnacentral:rRNA from 1 species